rnacentral:rRNA from 1 species
CCUACGGGGGGCAGCAGUAGGGAAUAUUGCUCAAUGGGGGAAACCCUGAAGCAGCAACGCCGCGUGGAGGAUGAAGGUUUUCGGAUUGUAAACUCCUUUUGUUAGAGAAGAUAAUGACGGUAUCUAACGAAUAAGCACCGGCUAACUCAGGGCCAGCAGCCGCGGUAAUACGGAGGGUGCACGCGUUACUCGGAAUCACUGGGCGGAAAGAGCGCGUAGGCGGGAUAGCAAGUCAGAUGUGAAAUCCUAUGGCUUAACCAUAGAACUGCAUUUGAAACUGUUAUUCUAGAGUAUGGGAGAGGUAGGUGGAAUUCUUGGUGUAGGGGUAAAAUCCGUAGAGAUCAAGAGGAAUACUCAUUGCGAAGGCGACCUGCUAGAACAUAACUGACGCUGAUGCGCGAAAGCGUGGGGAGCAAACAGGAUUAGAUACCCCUGUAGUC